UCCUACGGGAGGCAGCAGUCGAGAAUCUUUCGCAAUGGGCGAAAGCCUGACGAAGCGACGCUGUGUGAGUGAUGAAGGCCUUCGGGUUGUAAAACUCUUUCGCCUGGGAACAAGAGAGAGCGGUGAAUAACCGUUCGAUUUGAGGGUACCAGGUAAAGAAGCACCGGCUAACUCCGUGCCAGC
rnacentral:rRNA from 1 species